rnacentral:rRNA from 1 species
UUACGGUCAAACCACAUUGAAACAUUGGUUCCCGUUCGAUCAGCGAAGAUAAGCAAAAUCGAGUCUGGUCAGUACAUAGAUGGGUGACCGCUUGGGAAUACCAGGUGCUGUAA